UACGAAGGGGGCUAGCGUUGCUCGGAAUCACUGGGCGUAAAGGGUGCGUAGGCGGGUUUUUAAGUUAGGGGUGAAAUCCUGGAGCUCAACUCCAGAACUGCCUUUGAUACUGAAGAUCUUGAGUCCGGGAGAGGUGAGUGGAACUGCGAGUGUAGAGGUGAAAUUCGUAGAUAUUCGCAAGAACACCAGUGGCGAAGGCGGCUCACUGGCCCGGUACUGACGCUGAGGCACGAAAGCGUGGGGAGCAAACAGG
rnacentral:rRNA from 1 species